AAUGAACGCUAGCAAUCUGCUUAACACAUGCAAGUCGAAUGAGAUUUUAGGAUUUCAUGGCACACGGGUGAGUAACGCGUAGGAAUCUACCUUCUAGAAUGGGAUAAGUGAUUUUGGUAACAAAAAAAUGAAUACCGUAUAGUGGAGAAAGGAGAAAUCCGCUAGAAGAUGAGCCUGCGUAGGAUUAGGUAGUUGGUGGGGGAAAGGCCUACCAUGCCGACGAUCCUUAGCUGGUCUGAGAGGAUGAUCAGCCACACUGGGACUGAGACACGGCCCAGACUCCUACGGGAGGCAGCAGUGGGGAAUUUUGGACAAUGGGCGAAAGCCUGAUCCAGCAAGAUUGCGUGGGUGAUGACAGCCCUUUUGGUUGUAAAGCCCUUUUAUCGAGGAGGAUGAUGACAGUACUCGAAGAAAAAGUACCGGCUAACUCCGUGCCAGCAGCCGCCGUAAAAC
rnacentral:rRNA from 1 species